rnacentral:rRNA from 1 species
CCGAUGGCGACCGGCGCACGGGUGAGUAACACGUAUCCAACCUGCCGAUAACUCGGGGAUAGCCUUUCGAAAGAAAGAUUAAUAUCCGAUAGGAUAUCAAGAUCGCAUGAUCUUGAUAUUAAAGAAUUUCGGUUAUCGAUGGGAUGCGUUCCAUUAGUUAGUUGGCGGGGUAACGGCCCACCAAGACGACGAUGGAUAGGGGUUCUGAGAGGAAGGUCCCCCACAUUGGAACUGAGACACGGUCCAAACUCCUACGGAAGGCAGCAG